GACGAACGCUGGCGGCGUGCUUAACACAUGCAAGUCGAACGGAAAGGCCUGCUUUCCCUUGUGGAUUGCGGGUACUCGAGUGGCGAACGGGUGAGUAACACGUGAGUGAUCUGCCCCCAACUUGGGUAUAAGCCUGGGAAACUGGGUCUAAUUCCCGAUAGGACUGCAGGGUGGUGCCUGUGGUGGAAAACGAUUUUCUAGUGGUUGGGGAUGAGCUCGCGGCCUAUCAGCUUGUUGGUGGGGUAAUGGCCUACCAAGGCGGCGACGGGUAGCCGGCCUGAGAGGGUGGACGGCCACAUUGGGACUGAGAUACGGCCCAGACUCCUACGGGAGGCAGCAGUGGGGAAUAUUGCACAAUGGGCGGUAGCCUGAUGCAGCGACGCCGCGUGGGGGAUGACGGCCUUCGGGUUGUAAACUCCUUUCGACCGCGAGGAAGCCACCUGGUUGGAAGGGUGGUGACGGUAGUGGUAGAAGAAGCACCGGCUAACUACGUG
rnacentral:rRNA from 1 species